rnacentral:rRNA from 1 species
GGCAGCAGUGGGAAUAUUGGACUAUGGGCGAAAGCCUGAUCCAGCCAUGCCGCGAGUGUGAAGAAGGUCUUCGGAUUGUAAAGCACUUUAAGUUCGGAGGAAGGGCUGUAAGGGAAUACCUUGCAGUUUUGAGGUUACCGACAGAAUAAGCACCGGCUAACUUCGGCCAGCAGCCGCGGUUAUACGAAGGGUGCAAGCGUUAAUCGGAAUUACUGGGCGUUAAGCGCGCGUAGGUGGUAUGGUAAGUUGGAUGUGAAUGCCCCGGGCUCAACCUGGGAACUGCAUCCAAAACUGCCUGACUAGAGUU